rnacentral:miRNA from 1 species
ACUGGGUUAGCCCUAAAAUUCGUUCAGGUUUUUCUGAAAGAUGUUGUAGAAAAACCUGAAUGAACUUUUGGGCCAACCCAAUAUAU